AUUGCACAACUUAAGUUUGUCGAGGAUCGUUUUUUUAAACUGAAUCUUGCUCUUUUUUGGCGCUUGAAACCCUCGAUGAAUGUGUCAAUGUGCAAAGAUAAAAUAUUGUUCUCUGUUGAUCAGUGAUUUUGGCUUUGCUUUGGAGAAGUAUCUUUUCCCUUUCCCAUAAUUGACUUUUGUCCUAAAAGUUGUUCGGAGAGAAUAAGCAUAGUUGAAGUUGCGACUUUUUAUUUUUUUUUUGCUUUUGCAUGGAUACCAUAUCUAUGCACGUCUCAUGUUUAUUGGACCUUCAACAUUGGUUUUUCCUUCUGUUUUGAGGUUAAUAUUUUUUUCUCUACUUUUGAUAUGUCACAUAUUAAUACCGAUUAUGUUCUUAAUUUCCUCAUCGCUGUUGUUUUAAUUCGACUCAUUUGAGUUCUUCAUUUGUGUUUGGUUGGAUAUUCAGUUUGAGGUAAACAACAUAGUUGGUAUGUGCAGGAAAUGAUUGAAAAUCACAUGAACAUCUGGGUGAUCGUACAGAAGUGAAAAUACCUGAGGCAGUUUUGUACAAAAAAGAAGCUA
rnacentral:snoRNA from 20 species